GUAUAAGAGACAGCAGCAGCCGCGGUAAGACAGAGGGGGCAAGCGUUGCUCGGAAUUACUGGGCGUAAAGGGCGCGUAGGCGGGAUGGCAAGUCGGUCGUGAAAUCCUUCGGCUCAACCGAAGAACGUCGAUCGAUACUGCUGUUCUUGAGGGUUGCAGAGGAGACUGGAAUUCCCGGUGUAGCGGUGAAAUGUGUAGAGAUCGGGAGGAACACCGGUGGCGAAGGCGGGUCUCUGGGCAAUUCCUGACGCUGAGGCGCGAAAGCGUGGGGAGCAAACG
rnacentral:rRNA from 1 species